AUUGAACGCUGGCGGCAGGCCUAACACAUGCAAGUCGAGCGGAGCGGCGGACGGGUGAGUAAUGCCUAGGAAUCUGCCUGGUAGUGGGGGAUAACGUCCGGAAACGGGCGCUAAUACCGCAUACUAGCAGAGGAGCCUAGGGCGGAUUAGCUAGUGGGUGGGGUAAAGGCCUACCAAGACGACGACCCGUAACUGGUCGGAGAGGAUGAUCAGUCACACGGGAACUGAGACACGGUCCAGACUCCUACGGGAGGCAGCAGUGGUGAAUAUUGGACAAUGGGCGAAAGCCUGAUCCAGCCAGGCCGCGUGUGUGAAGAAGGUCUUCGGAUUGUAAAGCACUGUAAGUUGGGAGGCGUUACCCGCAGAAUAAGCACCGGCUAACUUCGUGCCAGCAGCCGCGGUAAUUC
rnacentral:rRNA from 1 species